rnacentral:rRNA from 1 species
CCUACGGGUGGCUGCAGUAGGGAAUAUUGCGCAAUGGGCGAAACCCUGAUGCAGCGACACCGCGUGAGUGUAGAGGUAAUUCGUUAGGUAAGGCUCUAUCAGCAGGGAAGAAAAUGACGGUACCUGAGUAAGAAACCCCGGCUAACUACGUGCCAGCAGCCGCGGUAAUACGUAGGGGGCAAGCGUUAUCCGGAUUUACUGGGGGUAAAGGGGGCGUAGACGGCAGUGCAAGUCUGGAGUGAAAGGCGGGGGCUCAACCCCCGGACUGCACUGGAUACUGUACGGCCGGAGUGCAGGAGAGGUAAAUGGAAUUCCUGGUGUAGCGGUGAAAUGCGUAGAUAUUAGGAGGAACACCAGUGGCGAAGGCGGCUUACUGGACUGUAACUGACGUUGAGGCUCGAAAGCGUGGGGAGCAAACAGGAUUAGAUACCCGAGUAGUC